UCUUUGUGUUUUCACAGUGGCAGGCGGUCCCUGCAGAAUUCCCGGCCACGGCAGUCAGGUCCACAUGCAGCUAAGCCCUUCAGAAAUGUUGUUCUUCACCGUGGGGGCGUGCUGCUCUCCUGGUCCUGGUGAGAGGUCUCCAGUAACACAAUCAUGGCAGUUUGUGCGUUGGUAAAAAGCCUGUGCCGCCUCUCAGAGAAUGUGCCUGCCAGAGUAUACAAAAUAUACUCAGAAGAGGAAUUCCACUGAAUCAGGAACUUCUUGAAAAGAAGGGAGUAAACAAAAACCAGGAAAAUUAGCAAAGGUAGCGAUAAUCAUCCCGGCAGAACUGGCAGUUUCCAAGUAUUUAAUUCACUGCAAGCAAGCAUCUUCUUUACUGGAAAAAUGUACUACAGCCGAGGCAGAAAAUGGAAAGGAGAAGCUGUUAGCUUCAUUUCACCUAAAACAAGAUACUGCCGCUCCGUUACACUUUCAAAGAUACUAGAAGGUUUAAACUUCAGUGUUCCAGAGAUCCAUCUGGGCUCCAGGGCAUUUCUCCUGAAGAUGCAUAUUACACUGGUAAUAGAAUUCAGGAGUUAAGGCCCCUAGACCACUGUAGCGCAUUUCAUCAGCCAGGUAAGUGACUUUCCCCUUUCCUGUUGCUUGAAUGGGCAGCCAGAUUCAUGAAAGCACAUUAUGCCCUUCCCUGCGGCAGAGGUAUGCUACUAAAAAAAAAAAAGAGAGAGAGAGAGAGAAGAAAGAAAAAGACUGACAUGAAAAAUGAAAGGUACUUAAACAAGCAGGACCACUGGUGUGCUCUCUAAAAGAUAGAUGAUUGCAGUGAACAUGAUGUCUGGAACUGUAGUUUGCCCAAAUUAAAGUGGAACAUAAAAAUAGGGAAGGAAGCAAUCUAAUUUCCAUUUAAAGUUGAUUUCAGUGGUCGCUGUACAAUAUUCUUUGUCACACCUUCAGGUGAUGGACCUGCAGUGCUGCAGAACUGUGGUAAUUCAAAGGUAACCAGGGGCAAGAGAAAUAUAGAACUCACAUCUGCCAAAAUAGAUCUGAGUGUGGAGCUGGCCAGAGAAAUGUGGCAAGAAAAACGGCAGGAUGCAAUUAUGAAGAAGUAAUGGGUUGCAAUUAACGACGCCUGCCUCAUUUCCUAAAUGAGGAGGGGGGAAGUUUUCUUGGGUUUUCCUCCACGGAGAGCUGUGCGAGGAUGAAGUUGGGCAAUGGUUGUUCAAUCCCUUUUGACUCUUAUGAAGUCAGUGAACUGCUUUGCCAUUUAUAUUUCAAAAGAAAAAUUGUGUCCUAUUUAUAUUCUCUCUAAGAAGAAAAAUACAGCUUUGUUUUACUACCUAAGCUAAUCAUAGAUCUUUCUGUGUGAAAUCAUGAUAAUUCUGGUUUUUUACUGACUGUGACAGAUUUUGUCCCAGAGAGGUGAACAGAGCACUGGCCUAGAAGCUAGGAGGCCAUUGAUCAUCUUUGUCCUUGUGAUGAUGAGCUGGGCAUCAGGCAUCAGCCGUGAAACGGAGGGUCUUUCAGCCUGGAAAAGUCUCACUCGAGAAGAGGGGCUCAAUGGGUCCUCACAUCAAACUCCUCUCAGGAAAUGAAUCAUCAUCCCUGUGACAAAAUUCAAAAUGUCGCCCUAGUUUCUGCCUUUCACAUUUGCCCACACAGACUUCUCUGACUUGGUUCUGUUCUCCUGCUAAUAACACCUGACCGCAUUCCUCUGGCUUCACACCCAUUCAGUGGUUUGAAUUUAGCAUUCUUUCACAUGUGUGAUUUGGGGCAACUCAUAUAGUCUCUGGGAGAUCCAAUUUAAUCGUCUGAGAAAUGCAGACAAUUACAGUAUCAUAUAAAGCUGGUGAGAGAGUUAAAUGAGCUAAAGUAAAUGAAGUAAUACAAACCAUAAAAGAAAAACUUGAUAAAUUGUAUUUCACCAAAAUUAAAAAUUUUACUCUUU